GGGUGCCUGACAAGCGGGAUGGACGAGAUUGAUUCUGUGCAGUAGACAGAUGAACGCAGAAAAUAAAGGGAACUGAUGCAGAGACGGGCAACCUGUGGCCCCCCAGAUGUUGUGGGACCACAACUCCAGUCGCCGCUGGCCAUGCUGGCUGGCAUUGGGAGUGCAACACAUCUGGCUGGCUACUUGCUCCCUAUCAGAAUUAUAGAGUUGGAAGGGACCACGAGGAUCCUGCCUAUCCUGAUGUAUUAAGAUUCUGUCUGUGCAAAAGGAAGUUCUACUGCAUUCAGUGGGGCUUGCUCCAGGUACAGAAAGAAUAACAAUGAAGAAAACAAUGUCAAAGCCAAGGAAUUCAUUCCCAAACAUUACACAGCAGCAAAUCUGCCAC